CCAUGGGCCGAGAGAGCGGGUGUGGGUGGUCCAUUAGCCGUGGGCGGUCGGGGCAUUACAAGUGGUAUCAGAGUUGGUUAGCCAUCUUGGUUCUGACCUGAGAUGCGUCUUGAGACCUGUCGUGGGGCGCAACGAGGACGUUGCGUUCUUUGAGAGGGAGUGAAUUGUAAUAUCCCGAGUUGUGAUAUAUGGAAAUGCUUAAAAUAAUUUAUUUGGCUACCUAUGUCACCAAAGUUGACUUACCUUUUCCGUUACACAUCCGUUUAGAACUCUAGAGUUAAGCGUGCUUGGGCUGGAGUAGUGAAAUGAUGGGUGACCUAUCAGGAAGUGAUUCGCGAU
rnacentral:lncRNA from 1 species